CCUACGUGUGGCAGCAGUGGGGAAUAUUGCACAAUGGGGGAAACCCUGAUGCAGCGACGCCGCGUGAGUGAAGAAGUAAUUAGUUAUGUAAAGCUCUAUCAGCAGGGAAGAAAGUGAUGGUACCUGAGUAAGAAGCCCCGGCUAACUACGUGCCAGGAGCCGCGGUAAUACGUAGGGGGCAAGCGUUAUCCGGAUUUACUGGACGUAAAGGUAGCGUAGAUGGCAGUGCAAGUCAGAAGUGAAAGCCGUGGGCUCAACCCCCGGACUGCUCCGGAAACUGUACAGCUGGAGUGCAGUAGAGGUAAGUGGAAUUCCUAGUGUAGCGGUGAAAUGCGUAGAUAUUAGGAGGAACACCGGUGGCGAAGGCGGCCUGCUGGACUACGACUGACGUUGAGGCCCGAAAGCGUGGGGAGCAAACAGGAUUAGAUACCCCAGUAGUC
rnacentral:rRNA from 1 species